ensembl:lncRNA
GCAGGAAAACACAACACUGGGUGGCGCUGUUCCCACAGCUGUGCGACUGAACGACGAGCUACUCGCCAGUCAUCAAGCGGAUAGAAGGCUAGCCAGUAUUAUCAAGUCAGCUACGGCAAAAAGUAUGUAUUUAUCCAGCUGACAUACUGCAGCAGUUCAGACCUGCCUGUUUUCCCUUCUGCACCAACAAACAAAAGCAUUCCCACACGAGAGAGGUGCGUGCUGGUGUUGCUGUGGCUCCUUGCCAGCCACUCUCACAGAGAGUCCUUAAAGGUUGCCAAGGAACUUGUGAUUGCAUGUAGAGACGGAAAGAGAUGUGUACAGAUGAGGCGAGAUGUGACAUCACAUUCAGCAGGGAAAGGCAGUGUGAGGGUAAGAGAAAGCUCCACAUCUUCCUGAGAGGAUUCAGAGGUGGAGGGGAUGACACACAUCAAAGACUCUGGAUGGCGUAAGAGAAAUGCCCCCAAAUGCUUCCAUUUCAGUGAACCCAGCUUGUGCUUCUGGUUGCAAAGUGAAGGAGCCUCAUUCUAAAGAUAUGUAAA